AUCGCUUCUCGGCCUUUUGGCUAAGAUCAAGUGUAGUAUCUGUUCUUAUCAGUUUAAAAUGACAGCAAGUAUUAUAUAAACAUUAAAAAAAUGACCUUAG
rnacentral:snRNA from 1 species